rnacentral:misc_RNA from 1 species
UCAAACUUGGUCAUUUAGAGGAAGUAAAAGUCGUAACAAGGUUUCCGUAGGUGAACCUGCGGAAGGAUCAUUAAUGAGUGUAAGACCGCCCCCUCCUUCGGGGGAGAGAGCGGCGCUCACCAGCCCAGUGGCUAAGGACCUACCUUCGACUGCGUUGCGUCGGCAGAUUAGGAGUUAUGACCCCUAUCGAUUUAGAGGUCUGAACCCUGGCCAGUCGGCGUUUGCAGCCCAAACUCUCCUAUUCCUAAACUAGCAAAAUGCUGAAGUCGAAACGACGAGAGAAAAUAAAAAGCAAAAACUUUCAACAACGGAUCUCUUGGUUCCAGCAUCGAUGAAGAACGCAGC